AACGAACGCUGGCGGCAUGCCUAACACAUGCAAGUCGAACGAGACCUUCGGGUCUAGUGGCGCACGGGUGCGUAACGCGUGGGAACCUGCCUUUAGGUUCGGAAUAACUCAGAGAAAUUUGAGCUAAUACCGGAUGAUGUCUUCGGACCAAAGAUUUAUCGCCCUUAGAUGGUCCCGCGUUGGAUUAGCUAGUUGGUGGGGUAAAGGCCUACCAAGGCGACGAUCCAUAGCUGGUCUGAGAGGAUGAUCAGCCACACUGGGACUGAGACACGGCCCAGACUCCUACGUGAAGCAACAGUGGGAAACAUUGGACAAUCGGCGAAAGCCUGAUCCAGAAAUGCCGCGGGAGGGAUAAAGGCCUUAGAGUUGAAAAGCUCUGUUACCCGAGAUGAUAAUGACAGUACCGUAAGAAUAAGCUCCGGCUAACUCCGUG
rnacentral:rRNA from 1 species